rnacentral:lncRNA from 1 species
UGUCUUCUCGGAAAAAACCAGCCUUGAAGGCUACAAGUGAUGAGAAGGAUUCUUUUUCGAAUAUAACCAGAGGAAAAAAGGAUGGAGAAAUAUCUAGGAAAGUGUCUUCUCAGAAACCACCAACCUUGAAGGGUACAAGUGACGAGGAAGAUUCUGUUUUGGGUAUAGCCAGAGAAAACAAGGAUGGAGAAAAAUCUAGGACAGUGUCUUCUGAGAAACCACCAGGCUUGAAGUGUCUUCUCGGAAAAAACCAUCCUUGGAGGCCACAAGUGAUGAGAAGGAUUCUUUUUCGAAUAUAACCAGAGAAAAAAAGGAUGGAGAAAUAUCUAGGAAAG